UGUGUAGGACAUUCUCCUUAAUGCAGUAACGAUGUGGAGGAUGAACGCGCUCGAGUGUUCAUGGUGUGAUUGUGGACUUUACUGAGUGCAGAUUCAGCAGAGUUUCUCUCUUUCUCCUGCACUGAUUGAGGACGCAGACGCGACUCGCUGGAGCUGCACGUGUUCACAAACUCGUCCCUGAUAGUUUUUGUCUCUUUGCUGCUGCUGGACGGUGUUACGAGACCGUUGGGGUGGAGGGUGUCAGAUGGACGGGUUUGAUAUCGUCUUUAUGGAGGAAGGAGAGCUGAGAGAGUGGAAAUGAAAUGGUGUUGGAGGUUUACACUGUGAUGAGAGCUGGUAUGGGCCAGAUGGAAGCUCUUCUAAUGGCACUCAUUUUACAGCCCACUUACGUGACUCCUGUGAGAAGAGAUUGUGGCUGAACAGCUGCUUUCUCUCUCUCCCUCUCUCUCUCUCUCUCUCUCUUUAUUGGAUAAUUGCCAGAGAUUCUCAAUUCUCGUGUUUGUUUUGGUUUUCUGUUCUAAGUCCUGUCUCCACUCCUGUCCUGUCUUUGGUUUGUUGCUCUACUGUGUUCACCUGUUUUGCAUUAAUUCUUGAUUAGGUUAUGCGUAUAUACCCUGUUGUUUCUUUGUUUAAUUGCAAAGUCACAUAUUUAUAUUUGUUUCUUUAAAUCCAACCCUUGGUUUUCUAGUCCUACUUUUGACCUUUGUCUGUUUUCCUUGUUUACUGAUUAUGGAUUAUCCCUGUUUGCUGUUUGGACUUUGGAUUCUGACUGUGUUUCCUGGCUUUGCUCUAAUGAAAAACACCAAGCGCUCGCACUUGCAUCCUGCUUCGUUCACCCGCAUGUUACAGAAGACUUCACAAAAAAGCAAAGAAACAGCAGGAUACUAAUUAGAACUAAUCAGGAACUAACACAAAACAGGUGGACACAAUCCGAUAACUAAGCAAAGACAGGAUGGGGGUGGAGUCAGGACUAGAACAGAAAACUGAACUGAAGCAUAUGCUGCUUGUUACUAUGGGAGCCGCUACGCAAAGACUCACUUAAACUCACUGACCUCACUCAUGACUGGGCUGCUGACAUGUACCUCAAACCUCUGCAUGAUGAACUGAUCCAGAAUGCAGCUGCAUGACUUGUUUUCACCUUCCUAAGCUCUCCCGCACCACCCCAUUGCUCCGCUCCUUUCAAUGGCUUCCUGUAGCUGAUUGCAUCAGAUUUAAAACACUGAUGCUUGCCUACGAAGCCAAAAAUGGACCAGCACCGACCUACCUUAAAGCACUGAUCACACCCUGCACUGCACCACGCUCCCUCUGAUCCUCUAGCACUGCUCGACUGGUCCCACCAUCUCUCAGGGUACAAGGAAAGCAUGCAUCAAGACUCUUCUCUGUUUGGGUACGUAGGUGGUGGAAUCAACUUCCCCUAGAUGUCCGAACAGCUGAGUCACUGGCAGUCUUCAAUGGAGCACUUAAAUUAUCACUCUGUUAUUAAAAACAUUGUGUGGUGUCAUGUGUGUUUUCAUAGUAUUUCAUUCUGGUACAAGUUAAUCUUGCAACAGAACUGGUCAGGCGUUUUUUUUUUUUUUUUUUUUUUUUUUUUAGAGGUUUUUAGCAAAGUCUAAUAUGGCCUUUCUGUUCUUGAGCGUUAACAGCGAUUUGCAUCUUUUGGUAAACCGUCUGUAUUUACAUUCAUGAAGGUGUCUCUUGAUUGUAGACUUUGAUAAUGAUACGCCUACCUCCUCCAGAGUGUUAUGAAGGGUUUUUUCUUCAAAAAGGAAAGAAUUCUGCGAUCAUCCACUUUAGUUGUCUUCCGUGGUCUUCCAGGCCUUUUGGUGUUGCUGAGCUCGCCAGUGCAUUCCUUCUUUUUAAGAAUGUACCAAAUUGUUGAUUUGGCCCUCCUAAAGUUUCUGCUAUCUCUCUGAUAGGUCUGUUUUGGUUUUUCAGCCUAAUGAUGGCCUCCUUCACUUGCAUCUCUUUGCAACACCUCUUUGGACGGCAUAUUGAGAGUUCCAAUGAACAGCUUCCAAAUGCAAAUGCAACAGUUAGAAUCAACUCCAGACCUUUUAUCUCCUUAAUUUGUCAUGAAAUAACUAGGAAUCAGGCCACAGCGGGCCAUGAAACUGCUUAUCAGUCAGUUGUCCAAUUACUUUUGAGCCUGUGAAAAUGGAGAGACUCU